GCUGGGGUAGCUAAGUCAGUAGAGCAUGAGACCCUUCAUCUCAAGGUCACGGGUUCAAGCCCCAGUGUUGGGCA